CGAACAUAUCACGAUGAGACACCGUUUCCCAUAAGAUCACAGCGGUUAAGCAACUUCGAACCUGGUCAGUAUUUAGAUGGGUGACCUUAGGAAUACCAGGUGAUGUAAG